AGCAGCCGCGGUAAUUCCAGCUCCAAUAGCGUAUAUUAAAGUUGUUGCAGUUAAAAAGCUCGUAGUUGAAUUUCGGGGUUCUACCGUUGGUCGGGCUAUUGUCUGUACUGGCGUGUAGAAUUUCUACCUUCUGGGGAACUAUCAUGUUAUUAAUUUAGCGUGGUAGGAAACCAGGACCUUUACCUUGAAAAAAUUAGAGUGUUCAAAGCAGGCUUAUGUCUGAAUACAUUAGCAUGGAAUAAUAAAAUAGGACGGUGGUCCUGUUUUGUUGGUUUCUGAAUCACCGUAAUGAUUAAUAGGGAUAGUUGGGGCAUUAGUAUUCAAUUGUCAGAGGUGAAAUUCUUGGAUUUAUUGAAGACUAACUACUGCGAAAGCAUUUGCCAAGGAUGUUUUCAUUAAUCAAGAACGAAAGUUAGGGGAUCGAAGACGAUCAGAUACCGUCGUAGUCUUAACCAUAAACUAUGCCGACUAGGGAUCGGACGAUGUUAACUUUUCUUGACUCGUUCGGCGCCUU
rnacentral:rRNA from 1 species